CUUGGUCAUUUAGAGGAAGUAAAAGUCGUAACAAGGUCUCCGUAGGUGAACCUGCGGAGGGAUCAUUAAUGAACGGCCUUGGCCUUCAACCUUGUAAACCUGUGGAAGCAAGACGUGCUUCGGUGCUUCGGCGCCGCAUUUAUGCAGCAAAGCGUUUGUCUGAACAAAAGCAAGAAUUAAAACUUUCAACAAAGGAUCUCUUGGCUCUCGCAUCGAUGAAGAACGCAGCGAAGCGCGAAAUGUAGUGUGAAUCGCAGAACAUUGUGAAUCAUCGAAUCUUUGAACGCACAUUGCGCCUCUCUUUACCGAGAGGCAUGCCCGUCUGAGCGUCAUUUGAACCAUAGCCCCGAAAGGGUCUGUCUUGGGCUUCGCCGGUCGGCGUCGCCUCGAAGCGAUCGGUCUAAAGAGCGGACGAGAUCCACUGGGACUUACCGUUUUGCGACCUUAAACCUCCGACUUGACCUCAGAUCAGGUAGGGCUACCGCCUGAACUUAAGCAUAUCAAUAAGGCGAGGAACAGAAACCAACAGGGAUUCCCCUAGUAGUGACGAAUGAAGCGGGAAAAGCUCAAGUUUGAAAUCCGAGGUUUACCUCGGAGUUGUAAGCUGAAGAGGCGUCGAUCGACUCGGUCCGGGCCCAAUUUCCUUGGAACAGGAGGUCGUGGAGGGUGAGAACCCCGUCCGUGGCUCGGGUGCCGUAGUCCUUGUGUCGUGCCCUCGAAGAGUCGGGUUGUUUGGGAAUGCAGCUCAAAAUGGGUGGUAAAUUUCAUCUAAGGCUAAAUAUUGGCGAGAGACCGAUAGCAAACAAGUAGAGUGAUCGAAAGAUGAAAAGUACUUUGAAAAGAGAGUGAAACAGUACGCGAAAUUGUUGAAAGG
rnacentral:rRNA from 1 species